rnacentral:rRNA from 1 species
UGCCAGCCGCCGCGGUAAUACGGAGGGUGCAAGCGUUGUUCGGAAUUAUUGGGCGUAAAGCGCACGUAGGCGGUCCGUUAAGUCGGAUGUGAAAGCCCGGGGCUCAACCCCGGAAGUGCGUUGGAUACUGGUAGUCUUGAGUAUGGGAGAGGAAAGCGGAAUUCCGAGUGUAGGAGUGAAAUCCGUAGAUAUUCGGAGAAACACCAGUGGCGAAGGCGGCUUUCUGGACCGAUACUGACGCUGAGACGCGAAAGCGUGGGGAGCAAACAGGAUUAGAUA